rnacentral:rRNA from 1 species
UACGUAGGUGGCAAGCGUUGUCCGGAUUUAUUGGGCGUAAAGAGCUCGUAGGCGGCUCAGUAAGUCAGGUGUGAAAACUCCAGGCUCAACCUGGAGACGCCACUUGAUACUGCUGUGGCUAGAGUCCGGUAGGGGAGCAUGGAAUUCCUGGUGUAGCGGUGAAAUGCGCAGAUAUCAGGAGGAACACCAGUGGCGAAGGCGGUGCUCUGGGCCGGAACUGACGCUGAGGAGCGAAAGCGUGGGGAGCAAACAGG